rnacentral:rRNA from 1 species
UAGGGAAUCUUCCGCAAUGGACGCAAGUCUGACGGAGCAACGCCGCGUGAGUGAAGAAGGAUUUCGGUUCGUAAAACUCUGUUGUUAGAGAAGAACAGCGCAUAGAGUAACUGUUAUGCGUGUGACGGUAUCUAACCAGAAAGCCACGGCUAACUACGUGCCAGCAGCCGCGGUAAUACGUAGGUGGCAAGCGUUGUCCGGAUUUAUUGGGCGUAAAGCGAGCGCAGGCGGUCAAUUAAGUCUGAUGUGAAAGCCCCCGGCUCAACCGGGGAGGGUCAUUGGAAACUGGUUGACUUGAGUGCAGAAGAGGAGAGUGGAAUUCCAUGUGUAGCGGUGAAAUGCGUAGAUAUAUGGAGGAACACCAGUGGCGAAGGCGACUCUCUGGUCUGUAACUGACGCUGAAGCUCGAAAGCGUGGGUAGCAAACAGG